rnacentral:rRNA from 1 species
CCUACGGUGGGCAGCAGUGGGGAAUAUUGGACAAUGGGGGCAACCCUGAUCCAGCCAUGCCGCGUGUGUGAAGAAGGCCCUCGGGUUGUAAAGCACUUUCAGUGAGGAAGAACGCCUGGUGGUUAAUACCCAUCAGGAAAGACAUCACUCACAGAAGAAGCACCGGCUAACUCCGUGCCAGCAGCCGCGGUAAUACGGAGGGUGCGAGCGUUAAUCGGAAUUACUGGGCGUAAAGCGCGCGUAGGUGGCUUGAUAAGCCGGUUGUGAAAGCCCCGGGCUCAACCUGGGAACGGCAUCCGGAACUGUCAAGCUAGAGUGCAGGAGAGGAAGGUAGAAUUCCCGGUGUAGCGGUGAAAUGCGUAGAGAUCGGGAGGAAUACCAGUGGCGAAGGCGGCCUUCUGGACUGACACUGCCACUGAGGUGCGAAAGCGUGGGUAGCAAACAGGAUUAGAUACCCCUGUAGUC